GCACCCCGUCCUUCCGGCCUCCACCCAGACUCGGAGAAGUGGCCCCACAUUCCUGGUAACCCGACUCCCCAGACGGGCGGGGUGGCGAGCGCAGUGGCCACGUGACCGCGCCCCGCGAACCGGGUGCAGAAAACUGGGGGACAGCGGGGACAUUGCCUAGGGUCAUACUGGAGAACUUUUUAAAACCAGCACUGUCCUCGGGGACCCUACAUAAGGUUUGUUUCUUUUCCUUUUUCUAUCUUUCUGCACUCAACAAUCACGUUCCAGUUUAUUUCUCCUUAGCAACCUUAAUCUUGUGGGUAUACAUUGUCCUGUCCUCUGUGGUUUUAUUUUCAAAGUAGAGAAAAGAGACCUCGUGUAGAACAAUUAAGUAAACAAAGC
rnacentral:lncRNA from 1 species